ACUGGAGAUACUUUUCUAAAAACGGGCAUCCUUUGCACAGGGCGCAAUUUUUUUUAUUUUAAAGUAAAAUUUAUUGUUUCAAUAUAACAAAAUUAAUUUCCUUUCCCUCUUCCCCAUUUCCCCCUUGCAGAAUCAACUCCCGGAAUGCCAACUUUUUAAUUUUUUGAAAAGUGAAUACAAAUGUAUUUCUCUCUCCCACCCCUUCAUCGUAAAAUAAAAACGAAAUUCCAAACCUAACAAGCUACCCGUGGUCAAGCAAAAUCGAUUCCCUGCAUGCACACUUUUUCGGCCCAACUGAAUUUUAAAAACGAGCACGAAUGCGUUUUCUCCCUGACCACCCCACCAUCCCAUCACUAAACGCGCGCCUGCCCAGGCGCACUUUCGCGCGUGAAGGCAGAGGCGGUUUGUCCUUGGGGAGCGAGCGUGCAUGUGCACGUGGGUGGGUGGCUCGUACUUCUCUCGGGCACACGUGGGACGUGCGGAAGCAAACGAGAAGCAAACUUUUCUUUUCCUGCCUGGGACGGAAAGGACGCCCCCCCGUCGCGCGGCAGUCCCGGGGCGCGGCCGCAACAUGGCGGGCGUGGAGGCGGCCCAGGCGGCGGCCUCGGAGAGGCACCUGAACGGUGAGCUGGAGCCGGACGACAAGGACGACGGCGCGGCCGCCACGACCGAGGAGACGGCCAAGAAGAAGCGCCGCAAGAAGAAGAAGGGCAAGGCCGGGGCCGCAGGACAACAGGAAACGGAAGGAGAAUCGGGGACUUCAGUGGAUGAGGUAGCCAAGCAGCUGGAAAAACAUGCCCUGGAGGAUAAAGAAAAAGAGGAUGACGAUGAAGAUGGAGAUGGUGAUGGAGAUGGAGCAGCAGGAAAGAAAAAGAAAAAGAAGAAAAAGAAGAAAGGACGUGAGUUUCUAAACUGGAUUUUAUUUGAUAAAACUUAA
rnacentral:lncRNA from 1 species